GUGGUAUGUGGCGAGGUUAACCCGUGUGGGGAAGCCGUAGCGAAAGCAAGUCCGAACAGGGCGUCGAGUCGCAUGCUCUAGACCCGAAGCGGAGUGAUCUAUCCAUGGCCAGGGUGAAGCGACGGUAAGACGUCGUGGAGGCCCGAACCCACCAGGGUUAAAAACCUGGGGGAUGAGCUGUGGAUAGGGGUGAAAGGCCAAUCAAACUCCGU
rnacentral:rRNA from 1 species